GCCAGCAUGGUGUAGUGGUUUGAGCAUUAGACUAGAACUCUGGAGACUAGGGUUUGAAUCCCAGAUUGGCC